rnacentral:rRNA from 1 species
GUGGGGAAUCUUGCGCAAUGGGCGAAAGCCUGACGCAGCCAUGCCGCGUGAAUGAUGAAGGUCUUAGGAUUGUAAAAUUCUUUCACCGGGGACGAUAAUGACGGUACCCGGAGAAGAAGCUCCGGCUAACUUCGUGCCAGCAGCCGCGGUAAUACGAAGGGGGCUAGCGGUGCUCGGAAUUACUGGGCGUAAAGGGCGCGUAGGCGGACAGCUUAGUCAGAGGUGAAAUCCCAGGGCUCAACCUUGGAAUUGCCUUUGAUACUGGCUGUCUUGAGUUUGGGAGAGGUGAGUGGAACUCCGAGUGUAGAGGUGAAAUUCGUAGAUAUUCGGAAGAACACCAGUGGCGAAGGCGACUCACUGGCCCAAUACUGACGCUGAGGCGCGAAAGCGUGGGGAGCAAACAGGAUUAGAAACCCCUGUAGUCC